rnacentral:rRNA from 1 species
AUUGAACGCUGGCGGCAGGCUUAACACAUGCAAGUCGAGCGGAGAGGAGCUUGCUCCUCAAAGUUAGUGGCGGACGGGUGAGUAACGCGUGGGUAACCUGCCCUAUGCAGGGGGAUAACGUAUGGAAACGAACGCUAAUACCGCAUAAACUAUGGAUGUUCGCAUGAACAUUAUAGCAAAGAUUUUAUCGGCAUAGGAUGGAUCCGCGUUGGGUUAGCUAGUUGGUGAGAUAACAGCCCACCAAGGCGACGAUCCAUAGCCGGCCUGAGAGGGAGAACGGCCACAUUGGGACGGAGACACGGCCCAAACUCCUACGGGAGGCAGCAGUGGGGAAUAUUGCACAAUGGGCGCAAGCCUGAUGCAGCGACGCCGCGUGAAGGAUGAGGGUCUUCGGAUUGUAAACUUCUAUCAGCAGGGAAGAAUAAAUGACGGUACCUGACUAAGAAGCUCCGGCUAACUACGUGCCAGCCGCCGCCGUAACAC